rnacentral:rRNA from 1 species
GCAAGAUUAAAACUCAAAGGAAUAGACGGGGACCCGCACAAGCGGUGGAGCAUGUGGUUUAAUUCGACGAUACGCGAAGAACCUUACCUGGCCUUGACAUAGACAGAACUUUCCAGAGACGGAUUGGUGCUAGUUUACUAGAACUGUCAUACAGGUGCUGCACGGCUGUCGUCAGCUCGUGUCGUGAGAUGUUGGGUUAAGUCCCGCAACGAGCGCAACCCUCGUGUUUAGUUACUAACAGUUCGGCUGAGGACUCUAAACAGACUGCCUGGGUAACCAGGAGGAAGGUGAGGACGACGUCAAGUCAUCAUGGCCCUUACGGCCAGGGCUACACACGUGCUACAAUGGGGUAUACAAAGAGCUGCAAUACAGUGACGUGGAGCAAAUCUCAUAAAAUAUCUCCCAGUUCGGAUUGAAGUCUGCAACUCGACUUCAUGAAGUUGGAAUCGCUAGUAAUCGUAGAUCAGCAAUGCUACGGUGAAUACGUUCCCGGGUCUUGUACUCACCGCCCGUCACACCAUGGGAAUUGAAUUCAUUCGAAGCGGGGAUGCUAAAAUAGCUACCUUCCACAGUGGAUUUAGUAACUAGGGUGAAGUCGUAACAAGGUA